rnacentral:tRNA from 1 species
GCCUGGGUGGCUGAGUCUGUUGAGUGUCUGACUUCGGUUCAGGUCAUGAUCUCACGGUUCGUGGGUUCGAGCCCCACAUCGGGCU